rnacentral:rRNA from 1 species
ACGAACGCUGGCGGCGUGCUUAACACCUGCAAGUCGAACGGAAAGGCCCUGCUUUUGUGGGGUGCUCGAGUGGCGAACGGGUGAGUAACACGUGAGUAACCUGCCCUUGACUUUGGGAUAACUUCAGGAAACUGGGGCUAAUACCGGAUAGGAGCUCCUGCUGCAUGGUGGGGGUUGGAAAGUUUCGGUGGUUGGGGAUGGACUCGCGGCUUAUCAGCUUGUUGGUGGGGUAGUGGCUUACCAAGGCUUUGACGGGUAGCCGGCCUGAGAGGGUGACCGGCCACAUUGGGACUGAGAUACGGCCCAGACUCCUACGGGAGGCAGCAGUGGGGAAUAUUGCACAAUGGGCGGAAGCCUGAUGCAGCAACGCCGCGUGCGGGAUGACGGCCUUCGGGUUGUAAACCGCUUUCGCCUGUGACGAAGCGUGAGUGACGGUAAUGGGUAAAGAAGCACCGGCUAACUACGUG